CGGGUGAGUAACGCGUAAACAACCUGCCCUUCGGAUGGGGACAACAGCUGGAAACGGCUGCUAAUACCGAAUACGUCUUUUCAUCGCAUGGUGAGAAGAAGAAAGGACGGCCUCUACACAAAGCGGUCGCCGAAGGAGGGGUUUGCGUCUGAUUAGCUAGUUGGAGGGGUAACGGCCCAACAAGGCGACGAUCAGUAGCCGGUCUGAGAGGAUGAACGGCCACAUUGGGACUGAGACACGGCCCAGACUCCUACGGGAGGCAGCAGCU
rnacentral:rRNA from 1 species